rnacentral:rRNA from 1 species
CCUACGGGAGGCAGCAGUGAGGAAUAUUGGUCAAUGGACGAGAGUCUGAACCAGCCAAGUAGCGUGAAGGAUGACUGCCCUAUGGGUUGUAAACUUCUUUUAUAUGGGAAUAAAAUGUUCCACGUGUGGGAUUUUGUAUGUACCAUAUGAAUAAGGAUCGGCUAACUCCGUGCCAGCAGCCGCGGUAAUACGGAGGAUCCGAGCGUUAUCCGGAUUUAUUGGGUUUAAAGGGAGCGUAGGUGGAUUGUUAAGUCAGUUGUGAAAGUUUGCGGCUCAACCGUAAAAUUGCAGUUGAAACUGGCAGUCUUGAGUACAGUAGAGGUGGGCGGAAGUCGUGGUGUAGCGGUGAAAUGCUUAGAUAUCACGAAGAACUCCGAUUGCGAAGGCAGUUCACUGGACUGCAACUGACACUGAGGCUCGAAAGUGUGGGUAUCAAACAGGAGUAGAUACCCUUGUAGUC